GCUGAGUGGGGAGGAGAGAGGGACAGAGAGCCUGCUUCUUUAAAGGAGCAAAGCGGGAGAGGAGAGGAGCCGCUUACACGAGUGUAAGCGGCUCCUUUCCGGUUGGUUCCUUUAAAGCAAGCAGGCUCUCUGUCCCUCUCUCCUCCCCACUCAGC
rnacentral:miRNA from 1 species